AGACACAGUGUCACAGGUAAGAAUAAAAAAGAAAAUACAGGAGAAGAAUAAAAAAAUAGUUUUUUUAUACGUCUUGGUUUU
rnacentral:ribozyme from 1 species